rnacentral:tRNA from 3 species
UGGGGUGUAGCUCAAUCGGCAGAGCGCCCGGCUGUUAACCGGGAGGUUGCUGGUUCGACCCCAGCCGCCCCAG